AGAGUUUGAUCCUGGCUCAGAAUCAACGCUGGCGGCGUGCCUAACACAUGCAAGUCGAACGAGAAAGUGGAGCAAUCCAUGAGUAAAGUGGCGCACGGGUGAGUAACACGUGACUAACCUACCCUUGAGUGGGGGAUAACUUCGGGAAACCGAGGCUAAUACCGCAUAACACCUACGGGUCAAAGGAGCAAUUCGCUCGAGGAGGGGGUCGCGGCCGAUUAGUUAGUUGGCAGGGUAAUGGCCUACCAAGACGAUGAUCGGUAUCCGGCCUGAGAGGGCGCACGGACACACUGGAACUGAAACACGGUCCAGACUCCUACGGGAGGCAGCAGUGGGGAAUUUUGCGCAAUGGGGGAAACCCUGACGCAGCAACGCCGCGUGGAGGAUGAAGUCCUUCGGGACGUAAACUCCUUUCGACCGGGACGAUUAUGACGGUACCGGAAGAAGAAGCCCCGGCUAACUUCGUGCCAGCAGCCGCGGUAAUACGAGGGGGGCGAGCGUUGUUCGGAAUUAUUGGGCGUAAAGGGUGCGUAGGCGGUUUGGUAAGUCUGAUGUGAAAUCUAUGGGCUCAACUCAUAGUCUGCAUUAGAAACUGCCGGGCUUGAGUAUGGGAGAGGUGAGUGGAAUUCCUGGUGUAGCGGUGAAAUGCGUAGAUAUCAGGAGGAACACCUGUGGCGAAAGCGGCUCACUGGACCAUAACUGACGCUGAUGCACGAAAGCUAGGGGAGCAAACAGGAUUAGAUACCCCUGUAGUCC
rnacentral:rRNA from 1 species